rnacentral:rRNA from 1 species
UGCAAGUCGAACGAAGUAGCAAUACUUAGUGGCGGACGGGUGAGUAUGAUGUGGGUAUCUGCCCAUUGGUUUGGAAUAACACGGGGAAACUUGUGCUAAUACUGAAUAAGCCUUCACAGGGAAAGCUUUAUGCGCCGAUGGAUGAGCCCGCACUUGAUUAGCUUGUUGGUGAGGUAAAAGCUCACCAAGGCUACGAUCAAUAGCUGAUCUGAGAGGAUGAUCAGCCACAUUGGGACUGAGACACGGCCCAAACUCCUACGGGAGGCAGCAGUAGGGAAUAUUGCACAAUGGAGGAAACUCUGAUGCAGCGAUGCCGCGUGAGUGAAGAAGGCCUUUGGGUUGUAAAGCCCUUUCGUCGGGGAAGAAAAUGACUGUACCCGAAUAAGAAGGUCCGGCUAACUUCGUGCCAGCAGCCGCGGUAAUACGAAGGGACCUAGCGUAGUUCGGAAUUACUGGGCUUAAAGAGCACGUAGGUGGUUAGAAAAGUUAGUGGUGAAAUCCCAAGGCUCAACCUUGGAACUGCCACUAAAACUUUUUAACUAGAGUAUGAUAGAGGUAAGCGGAAUUUCUAGUGUAGAGGUGAAAUUCGUAGAUAUUAGAAAGAACACCAAUUGCGAAGGCAGCUUUCUGGAUCAUUACUGACACUGAGGUGCGGAAGCAUGGGUAGCGAAGAGGAUUAGAUACCCUCGUAGUCCAUGCUGUAAACGAUGUGUGCUAGACGUUGGAAAUUUUAUUUUCAGUGUCGCAGCAAAAGCGUUAAGCACACCGCCUGGGGAGUACGGCCGCAAGGUUAAAACUCAAAUGAAUUGACGGGGACCCGCACAAGUAGUGGAGCAUGUGGUUUAAUUCGAAGAUACGCGCAGAACCUUACCAACACUUGACAUGUUCGUCGCGACUUUAGAGAUU